rnacentral:rRNA from 1 species
GACAGAGGGGGCAAGCGUUGCUCGGAAUUACUGGGCGUAAAGGGCGCGUAGGCGGGAUGGCAAGUCGGUCGUGAAAUCCCUCGGCUCAACCGAGGAACGUCGAUCGAUACUGCUGUUCUUGAGGAUUGCAGAGGAGACUGGAAUUCCCGGUGUAGCGGUGAAAUGUGUAGAGAUCGGGAGGAACACCGGUGGUGAAGGCGGGUCUCUGGGCAAUUCCUGACGCUGAGGCGCGAAAGCGUGGGGAGCAAACGGG